AGAGUAUCUGCAGAAUUUACGGACUUCCUGCAUUUGGAGCCACUGGACAAAGGAAUGGUUUGAUAUCUGUACUUAAAAGUUGUUCCCUCUCUUAGCCUGCAUGCUGGAUGGCUGUCCUCCCACCUCAGACUGGAACCUGUGUCUGGACAUGUCAGCUACCAGGAGUCCCUAUCCUUGACAAAAAUUUUAUGCCCUUGAUGAUUUUUGUCAGCUAGGAUGACCUCCUGGAGGGCAUCACUUCAGUGACAAGAGUGAGGAAGGAGUACAGCAGAUCCCUCUCCUCUAAAUGGAUACAGAGCACUUAAUGGCAUCCUCCGAUUUCUGCCAAUGAUGGUUACGGAGCUCCAUCUGAACUAGAAAAUCCAUCUUUCUGAAUUCUUCCCUCAAACCACAUGUUCCUGGAGACAGAGUCAUCUCUCCAGACUUGGGAUGUAACAGGUUGGCUGCUUGAAAAAAACACGUUUUUUACCAUCCGCUAGGACUUCUGUGAGAUGCCAUAACCACUGGACUGUUCCUCAAAGCAGAACUGGUGGAUAAGUAUUCUGAUGGGUCAAGCCAGGGAGCAAGGCACCCCCCCCACACACACCUCUCUGAUGCUGUGAUUCAUUUGACAGCCCCAGAAAACCCACACUUCUGUGGUUCUCUGGGGCUUUCCCACAGCAUCCAUUUCCCCCCACCUUCGAAGACUGGUACGAUACAACAGAGGACUUCAUCUGCCCAACCUGCAACUAGGUGCUGGGAAGUUGCCUACUCCCUGGCAGGAUUUAGGCCACCGCUUUCCACAACAGCCAGUCCUGCAGGGAUUUACACCCACUGGGUCCAUCUGUGUUUCUCCUGAGAUUCCCUGGAUCUGUCCAUUAGCCCCAUGGGCUUGGCGGCUGCAGAAGUUGCUGUGAAGCUCCCCUGACCUGAGGGUUAGGUGGGCAAGCAGAUGCUUGCCCUCUCCCCCUCUGGAAAUGGGAGAAGUUCCUGAUACCUUUCAAUGAAG
rnacentral:lncRNA from 1 species